rnacentral:rRNA from 1 species
AAUAGAUACCCGGGUAGUCCACGCCGUAAACGAUGUCGACUUGGAGGUUGUUCCCUUGAGGAGUGGCUUCCGGAGCUAACGCGUUAAGUCGACCGCCUGGGGAGUACGGCCGCAAGGUUAAAACUCAAAUGAAUUGACGGGGGCCCGCACAAGCGGUGGAGCAUGUGGUUUAAUUCGAUGCAACGCGAAGAACCUUACCUACUCUUGACAUCCACGGAACUUAGCAGAGAUGCUUUGGUGCCUUCGGGAACCGUGAGACAGGUGCUGCAUGGCUGUCGUCAGCUCGUGUUGUGAAAUGUUGGGUUAAGUCCCGCAACGAGCGCAACCCUUAUCCUUUGUUGCCAGCGGUUAGGCCGGGAACUCAAAGGAGACUGCCAGUGAUAAACUGGAGGAAGGUGGGGAUGACGUCAAGUCAUCAUGGCCCUUACGAGUAGGGCUACACACGUGCUACAAUGGCGCAUACAAAGAGAAGCGACCUCGCGAGAGCAAGCGGACCUCAUAAAGUGCGUCGUAGUCCGGAUUGGAGU